rnacentral:rRNA from 1 species
UUUAUUGGAGAGUUUGAUCCUGGCUCAGGAUGAACGCUGGCGGCGUGCCUAAUACAUGCAAGUCGAGCGAAUGGAUUAAGAGCUUGCUCUUAUGAAGUUAGCGGCGGACGGGUGAGUAACACGUGGGUAACCUGCCCAUAAGACUGGGAUAACUCCGGGAAACCGGGGCUAAUACCGGAUAACAUUUUGAACCGCAUGGUUCGAAAUUGAAAGGCGGCUUCGGCUGUCACUUAUGGAUGGACCCGCGUCGCAUUAGCUAGUUGGUGCGG